rnacentral:sRNA from 1 species
AUACUAGGAAGAAAAAUGAAUGUUUUACAGAUUUUAUUUGAGAUCAUAGAAGAAAUUAAGAAUUUGAUCUGUUUUCAAUGCCUCUAUCACUACAGUGUCUCUUCGUAUCUUUUCAGUUAAUAUUUAACACAAAUGGAUAAUACAGUGAAACCAUUCUUAAAAAAGAUAGGAAUAUUUUCAUUGCCAGUUCAUAAUAAUUAUUUAGUUUUUUUUUUAAUCAUAUCUUUACGGUUUUAAGUGAAAUUUUUAACAUUUUUUGUGUUGAAUAUAUCUAUUUAAGACAGGUUUCACUAGUGUCUCUAUUCCAGGGAAUAAGUUAACCAUUAAAUUGCUUAGAAACUGUAGAUCAAUAUGCAUGUAUACACAUACUUAUCGAGUUGUGUGUUAAUUGACCAAGCCUUCCCCAUUCCUGUACAGUAUCCUAUCUAUAACUGUGUACAGACAAUAUAAGAAAUGUAGACCUUUACGUUAAUCUGUGGUCUUAAGUUUCAUUGUAUUUGUUUUCUGAUCAGUGUCAAUGAUUUGUUUAUAUUAUGUUAUAAAAUAUACGUCACAAU